rnacentral:rRNA from 1 species
UACGUAGGGUGCGAGCGUUAAUCGGAAUUACUGGGCGUAAAGCGCGCGCAGGCGGCUUGGUAAGUGAGAUGUGAAAUCUCCCGGCCUAACCGGGAGGGGACAUUUCAGACUGGCAGGCUUGAGGACAGCAGAGGUAGGUGGAAUUCCUGGUGUAGUGGUGAAAUGCGUAGAGAUCAGGAGGAACACCAGUGGCGAAGGCGGCUCACUGGCCCGGAACUGACGCUGAGGUGCGAAAGCGUGGGGAGCAAACAGG